CUGCGAAUGGCUCAUUAUAUAAGUUAUCGUUUAUUUGAUAGUACCUUACUACUUGGAUAACCGUGGUAAUUCUAGAGCUAAUACAUGCUAAAAAUCCCGACUUCGGAAGGGAUGUAUUUAUUAGAUACAAAACCAAUGCCCCUCGGGGCUCUCUGGUGAUUCAUGAUAACUCGUCGAAUCGCACGGCCUUGCGCCGGCGAUGGUUCAUUCAAAUUUCUUCCCUAUCAACUUUCGAUGUUUGGGUAGUGGCCAAACAUGGUGGCAACGGGUAACGGAGGGUUAGGGCUCGACCCCGGAGAAGGAGCCUGAGAAACGGCUACUACAUCCAAGGAAGGCAGCAGGCGCGCAAAUUACCCAAUCCCGAUACGGGGAGGUAGUGACAAUAAAUACUGAUACAGGGCUCUUUUGGGUCUUGUAAUUGGAAUGAGUACAAUUUAAAUCCCUUAACGAGGAACAAUUGGAGGGCAAGUCUGGUGCCAGCAGCCGCGGUAAUUCCAGCUCCAAUAGCGUAUAUUAAAGUUGUUGUGGUUAAAAAGCUCGUAGUUGAAUCUUGGGCCUGGCUGGCCGGUCCGCCUCACCGCGUGUACUGGUCCGGCCGGGUCUUUCACUCUGCGGAACCACAUGCCCUUCAGUGGGUGUGGCGGGGAAGCAGGACGUUUACUUUGAAAAAAUUAGAGUGCUCUAAGCAGGCCAAUGCUCGGAUACAUUAGCAUGGAAUAAUAAAAUAGGACGCGCGGUUCUAUUUUGUUGGUUUCUAGGACCGCCGUAAUGAUGAAUAGGGACAGUCGGGGGCAUCAGUAUUCAGUUGUCAGAGGUGAAAUUCUUGGAUCUACUGAAGACUAACUACUGCGAAAGCAUUUGCCAAGGAUGUUUUCAUUAAUCAGGAACGAAAGUUAGGGGAUCGAAGACGAUCAGAUACCGUCGUAGUCUUAACCAUAAACUAUGCCGACUAGGGAUCGGACGAUGUUAUUUAGUUGACUCGUUCGGCACCUUACGAGAAAUCAAAGUGCUUGG
rnacentral:rRNA from 1 species